ensembl:lncRNA
GUGGAGACUCCACAAGCGGAGGCCGCCUGUAUCAGCCACAUGGCAGAGCCCAGACAGGAGAAAAAUGGCCAUGAUAGGCCGCUUCCUGUUCUUACGGUUCCUGGUUAAUCCAGCAAGACCUGACUGAGAUCACAGCAGAAACAGCCUUAACAGCCAGGAGGUUUGCCUCUGAAUUCAGAGCACUCAGUGCCUCCCGACACCAGCGUUGCGUGAUUUGUGCUUCUCGCUGGUCCUCUCGUGGAGAAGGAGACUCUUCAGUUCUUCUCUGAACAGAAGGGGCAUCUAGGGUGAUGGCGGCGAGGAGCUGGACCACUCACAGGGGGAGCACACCAUUCACAAGAGCCGAGAGGUGGAACCCACCCAACCGUCCAUCCUCUGGAUCGACAGACAAAAUGUGGUCCAUCCACGAGGUGGGAGGCCACUCAGCCAUAAAGAGGAAUGAAGGGCUGACACAUGCCCCGGCACGAGAACCUUGAAAGCAGUAUGUUGGUGUUUCAGACAGCGGUGUCUUUAAGCGGUCACUUUAGACAUCUUCACCGACGCUUCACACGUAACUGCACGCCCGCUUGGUACCACGCACAGCUCCUGAC